rnacentral:rRNA from 1 species
UACGAAGGGUGCAAGCGUUACUCGGAAUUACUGGGCGUAAAGGGCGCGUAGGCGGCCUUCUAAGUCGAACGUGAAAUCCCCGGGCUCAACCCGGGAACUGCGUCUGAUACUGGAAGGCUUGAAUCCGGGAGAGGGAUGCGGAAUUCCAGGUGUAGCGGUGAAAUGCGUAGAUAUCUGGAGGAACACCAAUAGCGAAGGCAGCUCGCUGGGACGGUAUUGACGCUAAGGCGCGAAAGCGUGGGGAGCAAACAGG